CGCCCACCUCGGCCUCCCAAAGUGCUGGGAUUACAGGCAUGAGCCACUGCGCCCGGCCAUGCCCAGCUAAUUUUUGUG
ensembl:miRNA